rnacentral:rRNA from 1 species
AACGAACGCUGGCGGCAGGCUUAACACAUGCAAGUCGAACGGUUGUAGCAAUACAGCAGUGGCGCACGGGUGAGUAACGCGUGGAUAUCUGCCUUUUGGUUCGGAAUAACUCCGGGAAACUGGAGCUAAUACCGGAUGGUUCCUACGGGAUAAAGAUUUAUCGCCAAAAGAUGAGUCCGCGUACGAUUAGCUAGUUGGUGAGGUAAUGGCUCACCAAGGCGACGAUCGUUAGCUGGUCUGAGAGGACGAUCAGCCACACUGGGACUGAGACACGGCCCAGACUCCUACGGGAGGCAGCAGUGGGGAAUAUUGGACAAUGGGGGCGGAACCCCUACGAUCCACGCCACUGCCGCCGUGAGUGAUGAAGGACC